UUCCUGGUGGUCCAGUGGUUAGGACUCCAUGCUUCUUCUGCAGAGAGCACAGGUUUGAUCCCUGACCAGGGAA
rnacentral:tRNA from 1 species